rnacentral:rRNA from 1 species
GUCCACGCCGUAAACGGUGGGAACUAGGUGUUGGCGACAUUCCACGUCGUCGGUGCCGCAGCUAACGCAUUAAGUUCCCCGCCUGGGGAGUACGGCCGCAAGGCUAAAACUCAAAGGAAUUGACGGGGGCCCGGCACAAGCAGCGGAGCAUGUGGCUUAAUUCGACGCAACGCGAAGAACCUUACCAAGGCUUGACAUACACCGGAAACGGCCAGAGAUGGUCGCCCCUUCGUGGUCGGUGUACAGGUGGUGCAUGGCUGUCGU